GGGUUACAAGUGGUGGCUAUGGGGUUGAUGGUAAAUGACGAAUGCAGGAUUUCUUGAGGCCAAACUAUUUACUGAUUUUACCAAUUACAUUUUACAAGUAUGUUGUCUAAGUGACGGGCGCGAGACGACUAGCGUCUGCGCAUUGAUCGCUACUGGAAGUUACUAGAAAGCUGACAUUGCAAAACGUGACUAUAACAUGUGUCGCUACAUCACUUCCCCCGUUUUUCAAAAUUUUGUCAAAAAUUUUCAAGUACAAUACGUAAUACCUAUGUUACAAAAGCCUCUCUUACGGAGCUUUAAACUUGAAACAUACAAUAUCAAACAAAACAGAAAUCACAAAAUUACAUUUCAAUACUGAUACAAAAUUAACAAAUCAAACUUAUAAAUCUCACACAAUAACCACUCGGUAUAACUACGUAGCACUUUGUUCACUCGCGACGCGCUUAUCACAUUCCGCUGACCGUGCAAGAUGAACGCUGCUACCUCGGUUCUGCGAAUUCGACCUCGUGUGUGAUUGAACCAUGUUGCAAGUUCUGAUCUAAAAAUAGCUUCUUUCUUAGCAUCUCUCAUCCAUCCUGGCGGGAACUUCCAUGAGGACCCUCGAGUGAGCCUCCGCGUGGGUGACCAGUCCACUAUGCUCCAGCUCGGCAGCCUCGCAGCGAGGAAACCGCCCAAAACUCGCUAACUCCAGAAGCGCCGAUUACCGCCCGUUGACCUUCCGUCGUGAACGCGCAAUCGUACCUUCUAUGUGUUCCGCUCGUCCAGGUCCUGACUUGAGAUGCUUCGAUACGCUGAUUUCUUCUUUGAUGCGUUACCAAAAUUUGUGAAGGGGUGGUGCACUUCCAGUAGAUGAUUUUCUAUUUCUUGAUGUUGUCGCCUGUUACCCCAUGGCCCUGCUGGGGGAGCCGUCUCGUCCACGCCGUUCCAUGCUGCGCCGCGUCAUCGCCGUGCUGACUCCAUCGUUUCUUCCAAAGGUUCCGUGUUCAGUUUGUCGGAGGUCACCAAUUUAGGGUUACAAAAUGGUGGCUAUGGGGUUGAUGGUAAAUGACGAAUGCAGGAUUUCUUGAGGCCAAACUAUUUACUGAUUUUACCAAUUACAUUUUACAAGUAUGUUGUCUAAGUGACGGGCGCGAGACGACUAGCGUCUGCGCAUUGAUCGCUACUGGAAGUUACUAGAAAGCUGACAUUGCAAAACGUGACUAUAACAUGUGUCGC